rnacentral:lncRNA from 1 species
GCCUUCACCCUAUGAGUGGGGUCUUUGCCUGGAAAAAAGGCUUUCACUAUAGAAAAUUCUCAAGCACAUGUUCCCUGAAAUGGUUGCUCUUUCGAAAGCAAUGGUUGCUAGGAAUGGUUUUGUUGUCUAGCUCUUGCAAGCAAGGCGUGAAGCGAUUCUCUUGAGCUCUAACCGGCUAAACCCGCUUUGGUGGCCCGCCCCAAGUCUUGCCCAUAGCUGACUUCUUUGCUAGAUGAUAUCGAAUAGUACGACUAGAGUUCAAUCCCUCAGAAAGUCAUAGUACGACUACAGGGAAAGAGAUCUGAAAGUAGCCUUUUACCCCGUUAUUCGAUGGUGAAUGCAUCCUAGCUCUCCCCAUUCAAUAGGCUAAGCCUAUCCCUUUUCCAUAAAGCUAAGACAGAACUCAGCUAGGACCGAAGAUAGGUUUGCCAACCGGAUGAAAACCGAAGAGAGCAUUGUCAGUUUCAUUCCAGUCUUUUCUCAAUUGAGAAGUCAACUAACAGGUCAAUCCUUCCCUUAUACCAUAUCCAUUUUACACAGUCUUUGUUGAAAUAGUGUAAAUAGUGCGAGAUUUUCAACUAAUGAAAUCUAAACCAGCUAGUUCAGUCAGAUACCGGCUAAGCAACCUCUAAAGCAGCUAUCGGAGCAGUAGCAGCUUGAAAUUCGCAUACCAAAGACGAUNAAAGCAGCUACGGAGCAGUAGCAGCUUGAAAUUUGCAUACCAAAUACGAUGGAAUUCCCCACUUUCUAAUGCAACACGACAAAGCUUAGGGAGUCAGCUAGUCCAACAUCAGUCAUUCUAAUGGAAUAUCUGGAAUAUCGAACUAGGAAUUGAAAGACUUUCUUUCUUUAUAUACGAGUCAAUUACAUACCGGAAAUCUCGAACAGUAAAUGCUAUACCGGAAAUGCGAUAUCUAAAGUCAAUCUCAGUGAAUUCCGUACAAAGCAGUCCAACCAAAACCUAACAGUAUAUCAGAUCUAUCCUAUAAAGGUAGUCCAACACAAGCAAUCGAUACUACGCCUUCGACCUUUGAGAAGUUACUUUGUGAAAUAGGAUUUCUCCCUUGUACAAUUUCUUCAUUUUAGAUAGCUAGAGCUAAGCCUGUCCUAAGAAUGAGUCGGGUAGGACCUUUCAGUCAAGUGCCUUGCCUUCCUUGCCUAUUCAUUUAGUCCAACAAUUGAAAUACCUAUUCGCAUUCCUUCCCAGUCCACUUCGAAAGUUACUUUGUUCAGUCGAUAGAUGCAAUGCUGCGAUGGAUAAAUCUCAUAUGCUCUCCAACUUGCAAGACCUUCUCUUCCCCCUCUUGGAAACAGGCUAGCGAUGAGGAGAAAAGUCGCCCAAUGUAUGGUCCUAAUUUCAACACGCCACCUACACGACUCACUACAUAGGUUUAAGGAAAGCAGUAUACUCAUGACCAGGCAUAGCAGAAUAAAGGCCUAACUCUCAAAGUAGUGAUGUUCCCCCAGUAUCAUAAUAGAGUAGUAUUUCGGAACUCUUUCUCUUAAGGUGCGGAGCGAACUGUUGGACUAGGAGCAGCGAUUUCUUUUGUUGAAGAAUGAGUUCUUCCUCUAAAUAGAUGGCGAGAAUCUGUUCUUGGUGGUAGGGCAUGGUUAAGCUUUUAGUAGGCAUAGAGUAGAAGAAACUGAUCGAUCGAGAGAAUUUCCACCAGAUGCCAGAAAGAGGAAGACAGAAGCAAGAGUCCCCCCAGGGGCGAAAUGUGAGUUCAUCGCCGGAUUCGGAGUAGUUCAAAUCAAAGAGUUCCAGAUAUGCGGAUUAAGCGAGAGCGAGUUUGUUUGNUUGGUUCUUGAAGCGUGAAAUGGGUGUGUGAGCAUUGUUUUGCCGUCUUUCUCUUAUAACGUUCUCAGAGGAUAUGGUUUCUGCGACAACUCCUAUUACUACCGGGGUAGCUCCCGAACCUUCUUAAACUUCUUCCCCGAAUUUCUUCGAGACUUCAACUUCACUUCUCAAUCGUCUAAAAGAAAAGGUGGUAUGUUCCUGUCGAAGCCCUUUGUGUCUGUAUUAAUUUCUGACCGCACGGAAUCUCCAUAGCCAAUUUUCCAUUUUUUAUUAUGAAAUCAGAGGGUGCUGCCUUUGGUACUACUCUUAUUUUACACGAUCCAGGAACUUCCAUAACGUUGGCGUGAUUCAGUUUGAGCAACGGAUCCUGACGUGAUACAUCUUCGUAAUGAAAAUUGAGUGUAAACAUUCUUUUUUUUUCNUAAAUAGCUCCAUCCAAGCCUACGGCAGCUUAUUUCCGAUCUCUCCCAACCCCGAAGUCAGACCAGUCUGAGCCGAACCGAGACAAUGAACGGCGAAUCUCAACCUUUUUUGUUUCAUCCUCUCUGGGCAUCUAGACGGAGAAAGAAGGGACGAGUGUAUCCGGGCCAUGAUCCGAUCCAUAUUUUAUCUGUAUAUUCCGGCAGAGCAUAUCGAUAUCGGGAUCCCUCCAAGCCGGCUCUGGGACAGCAUCAAAAGUCCUUCGUUCCUCCUUGCAAUGAGCAGGGACCAGGGAAGAUGUAUGAGGCUGGUAAGGUAAGUACAUCGAUUCAUCUCUAGCAGCCAGACUUAGGUCAUUAAACCCUUAUUCCGGUGUCCUUGGAUGAGAAUCUUUCUAUACUAUACGCAUGCCUUCUGGCACAACACACACCCACUCAGAAGAGCACACCACCCUAAUCCCUAAAGAAGAGAGGGAAAGAGCGGAAAAGCUGGUUUGACGUCAACAGUUCUUCCUUGUUCCGACAAAGAGUGUGUUUCCUUAUUCUUUUUUAGCUUUGAGCUUGGUUCAGAUUGGACACGUCCUCACUCGUUCUUUUCUUUUUUCAAGAUCUUUGAGCCUCAUAAGAAUUCUUCUAACUGGUCUGUCCCAUUGCUAAUAGACCCACUCCAAUCUCAGGAACCCUCUCAAGAAGACCAUUAGUUAGAGUACUUUCUUUCUUUGUAGUUAUCAGGCAUGUGAAGAUACAAUCAACUUAGAAGGAAAGUUGCUGUUGCUCAACUUUAGAUCACCAUCUCACCAUGUCAUAAGCUUUCCAGAUGUCAGUCCAGUGCCAAUUCAAAAGAAACGCUCUUGGCCGAUUAGUUGGCUUAAAACGGCCGAUAUGAGCUGAGAUAUCGGUCCUAUGAAUCUGUUCCCGAGGGUCGAGCUGCGUUAAGCUCUUAUUCUCCGAUUCUGUUAACGCCGUCAACGCGAACUGCCGAUGCGGCUUCUGACUAUGCUUUCUGCGGUCUUCGUUUCGACUCUUCCGCUGUGAAAAGAAUAGGUUGUUCUCAGGUGUAAAGGAAGAGCUGCUAGUAACAAGUGAGGGAAGGAACCCCAAGGAAAGAAGAAAUCAANAAAAACUUUUGUUUAACAUUUCCGGAAAGACCCCCUAUUUGUUCGUUUACCAGGUUAAGCACGAAAUGAUAAAUAAGCUCUACCAAGGAUUGCCAAGCAUCUGGUACUAAGUUUCCUCCUCCUUUUUUUGUAACAAAAUGAAUCAGAAGUAGGACCAAACUGAGAGUUAGCAGCAUAAACAAAGAUGAAUUUGUGAAUGAGAAAUACAAGUUUCCUAUCUUCAUAGGAAUCAAUGGGAGAAUGGAAAAUUGCUCAAGUGGGCUGUUGGGCGUAAUCGUAAGAAACACUUUUCAUUUCAUCCCUGUAGUUCCGCUUCUUGCUCUAAAAAUUAGGAAAGACUUGUCGGAAAUCGCCAGUUGGCUUGGUCCGACCAAGAAAGGCAUGGGACUCUUUGGGCAUUGCUUGGGUCGAGUGAAGUAAAGACUGGCUACCUAUAAUAUAAAGAUCCCUCACUGCACACUUUAGAUAUAAUGAAAACCUUUAGUUUAGGAGUCAUUCAGGCUAGAUCUAAAAAAAGAACAUAGCCUUCGUAUGAUCCCUUUCUAGUACCCUAUNUGGAAAUCACCAGUUGGCUUGGUCUGACCAAACCUCAAGGCAGCCAAUCCUAAUAAAAGAGGUGAACCUGAGAAGAGCAGUAAGAGUAAGCGUUCAGGUGCUGGUGCUAUGACCUUAAAGGUGGAAGAUCCUCCCCUGGUUCUAACCACCCUGAAUGAAGAGUGGGCGAAUAAAAUGAAGAACAUAUAAGAGAUGUUGAAUUCUAAGAAAGAGGGGGGAUGGGGAAAGUCAAGGCCAAAGAACAAAAGACAAAUAAGGGCUGCACAAGACUAAAAACCAGAGGCAGCGCUAAGGUGCGAAGGGAAUGUAAAAACAACAAUAGUUCCACAUUAAGGUCCUUAUAUGGAAUGUCAGAAAGAUCGGUAAAGUCGAGAAGCAUAGAGAGGCCUUUUAGAGCACAAGAGGCAGAUUUUAUUGGCUUGGUGGAAAGCAAAGUGAGGAGUGGAAAGGCGGCCAGAAUUACCAGAUGCUUGAGAAAGGAUUGUAGUAAAGCCAUUACUGUGGAGAAUGGUGGUAAGCGUGGUAAGGUCGCUGUUAACGAAUGGUUAACUAUGACAUUAACAAGAUAUAUAGAUCUGAUCAGGCUAGAUCUUGUAGCUGCUGAGGGAAGGAAGGAAGGAAAGUAGGGUUUCCUUCCAGGACCAGAGAAGGUAAAACUCUGGGCGGGAUGCCAGGUUUCGCCUACGCUACGAUUUCACAAGAUUGAACCUUCUUUGUUCAAUCGAAGAAAAGGAGUUCCAGAACACGAGGGAAUGUACUUUCAUCCCCAGGACCGCCCCGUCUAUGUACUCGGGGCCUCCCCCGAUUGCUGGAAGAUGCGCGCGAUACGAUAAAGGCCCCUGGGAGAAACCAAUGAAAAGCCAGGGUAGAGCCUCGGAGCCGGCCCAAGCGAAGAUCGGCACUCGCAGGCUUGAGGAGCAGCCCGAAAAAGGGAAAGCCGUGGAGACGGCAGACUCGCCAGUCAGGCACACCGUGAGGCUGACUACAGCAGACCGGGAGGUUACAAUUCCUGUUUUCCUGUUUCAAUUUCCGGGAGUGAAUGUAGGAAGUGCAGACGGUGGAUCAGGUGUGAACAUUCAACCAAAGGCGUCUUGGGGAUCGGCAAUAGCUAAGCAUUAUGGCCAUCACAGUUCCAUCUACGUAUGGCUGGCAUACAACCUGCAGGCUUCUUAGACAAAAGAAAAACAAGAAAAAAGUCUGCCUUCUUUGGUACCUUUAGUCCAAUCUUAGACAAAGAGCAAGGAGGAUAUGAAGCACUGCUAGGUAGACCAUGGCUCCAACCAGGUGGUUCAUGACUAGGCUAAGAAAAAGAGUCUCAAGCAGGGAAACGCAAGAUGGAAGGCGGAAAAGGCUUGGUUUUGUUUCACAGAAAAAGGACUAAGGAAAUUGAGUUUUCGUAGUGGUGAUGCUGGCGUCAGUUGACCCGGUUGAUAAAUAAAUAAAGAUUUUUUUCAUUUAUUUAUAUGCAAGAUCGAAGACGCGAUUCGCGCGGGUCUGCUUUUUUUUUAAGAAAGCAAGGAGGUUAUUUGUUCGCUGGGCGAUUCAGCGAGCCAAAUCGCACUAAUGCGAUUCAUUCGCCUACUAUCCUAUAGAGCAAUUCAACCUCUUAGUAAGACUAGGGCUAGGAAAACUCAUUCUAUCUGGGGCCAGGUAGGUGAAGCGUCUAGCUUGGGGGGGCGCGCCGAAUCCCUGAAAGGCCUUGGUGAUUCUCCCAUUUUGAAAUAUGAAGAUAGAAAACCAUAAUUUUUCCAAACUUCACUUAAAGAGUCUCGUAUCCAUGCUGCCUCGACUUUAAUUUAAACUCGAUGUUUGUUAACUAAGCGGGACACCCCCAAACUCUUUCUUAUCAAAGCCCUUCCCCUUGUACAGCCUUACCAGGCAGGCUGUUUUCAUUAUGUGUUCUUUACGGGAGGUUAGGAGUGAAUUAAGCCAAUGCGUACAAAUAGACAGACCAGGCUCAUCCUUUUAUGUUGAGGUCGCAAGUCUGUCUAUGAUUAAGAGUCUAGGUGGUGUUGAAGCUGGCUCAUUCAUGCUAGUCAUCUUAGAGCUAUGAGUCAGAACAAUGUUCACCAACUCUUCCAUAGUAAUCUUGUUCAUAUAUCGAAAAAGCUUUAGAAUAUGAGUUUCCAUUGUUAUAUUAAAGUCUUUUGUCUCCUCCCCAAGGUAGCAUUGCCGAGCGGGCGAUCCCUGUCUUGUUUAUCCAGCUAGCUUUUCCCCGUGGUACUCAAAUUCUAUUUGUGACAGCUCCUUCGGCUCGGCUACUUUUUUUUUAAGGUAAGGUGGGAUCUUUACAUUCUCAAUAAAAAUGCCUAUCUAUAAAGCGCUGAGUUGAAGAGGGAACAAGUCCCACAGAGAGAUGAGAAGUGGGGGAAAGAGUGAAACUACAAUCUCUUCUGGAAUGGAAGACCUCCCGUCCACUGACUACAAGACUGCAGCCUAACACCCAAGUUAGCUUGACGGUCAGCUAAAUGAGUCCCUUCCCUCUUCACAUGAUGAAUUUGAACUCAACAUAUAUUGAGAAAUGUUUUCUCAGGAUAAAGCAUAGGCGCCCAGGUUCUUGAUUAUUACCAUUCGUCCAUCUAAGUUAAGAGAACCCCUUUUUGUUUGAUAUGAUGACUUGAAAAGAAUCAAGAGUUUGGACAAAACCAUGGCCAUGCAGGAGAGUUUCUGCUUCUGCAAAGUUUGCAUCUUUGAUCCCUAGAAGGGAUCUCUGUUCAAUUCCACAUGACAGCACUAUUUCCAUCUCUUAUGACCCCACCAUAAUCCUAAUUCCAAGAGUAGCCUUCCCUACUCCUUCAAAUGUUAUUUGAAGAUAAAAUUUCCACAAGAUUGAGAUAGAUAUGUUUGAAUUUCAAUAAAAAAAAGUAAUGAAAUAAGACCUCGUCAUGUUCAUCCUUACUAGCAUCCCAUAAAAAAAAUAUUUUAUUUUUUGUAUUUUUAUGGUCUGGAUUUUUUUAAUCACCUUAACGAAGGAGGUGGACUUCAACCAAGUCAGCCUUUCUUAUGAAGUGGCUAUGGCUAUUUCCAAAGGAAAAUAAAAAGCCACGGUGCUCAUAUUUGGCUGCUAAGUACCUCUCCAAUGGAAAAAAUGGAUUGACCAACCCACCUCUUAAAUAUCCUGCAUCUAGAAAGGUCUUAUUUGAUACAGAAAGACUUUCAGGCAGAACUUGGGCUAGACUUUGGUUGGGCAAUGGUAAGCUGAUUCGUUUCUGGGAUGAUGUUUGGCCAUGCCACUCUACUCAGAGAUGCAUGCCAUAAUUUAUAUCAAUUCACAAGGUUCUCAUGAUCUCAAAGUGAUAGACUACAUUCAAUAUGAAGGAGAAAAAAGGAUUUAUCCCUCUAUUCAACUACCCAUCCAAGAGCAUUUGGCUUCACUUUAUUUUUUCUUUUUUGAUAGGGAGGAUAAUAUCUUUUGGCAGCUCAAUCCUCACGGUAAUAAUUAUGCCAAUUCUGCCUAAAAAUCUCUUCAGGUGAUCAAGAGGGCCCCUUUUUCAGUAGAUGAGAUUAGGAUGAAAGGUAUUAUCUCAACGAUGCUUUUCUCUGGCUUGCUUUUCAAAAUUUCAUUUUGGCCUGCGGUAAUGUAAUCGGGAUUUUCAUAAAUUUUUUUUCU